GACGAACGCUGGCGGCGUGCUUAACACAUGCAAGUCGAACGACGUGGCGAACGGGUGAGUAAUACGUGAGUAACCUGCCCUCCUUUUUGGGAUAAGCCUUGGAAACGGGGUCUAAUACCGCAUAAAGGGGGAUGGGCUCGCGGCCUAUCGGCUUGUUGGUGGGGUGAUUGCCUUCCGAGGCGGUGACGGGGAGGCGGCCUGAGAGGGUUACCGGCGACAUUGGGACUGAGAUACGGCCCAGAGUCAUACGGGAGGCAGCAGUGGGGGAUAUUGCACAAUGGGCGAAAGCCUGAUGCAGCGACGCCGCGUGGGGGAUGAAGGCUUUCGGGUUGUAAGCCUCUUUCGCUAUCGAAGGGGUAGGUGGAGAAGAAGCGCCGGCUAACUACGUGCCAGCAGCCGCGGUAAUAC
rnacentral:rRNA from 1 species